GUUCGGACUGUAGGCUGCAACUCGCCUACACGAAGUUGGAAUUGCUAGUAAUCGUGGAUCAGCAUGCCACGGUGAAUACGUUCCCGGGCCUUGUACACACCGCCCGUCACACCAUGAGAGUCGGGAACACCCGAAGUCCGUAGUCUAACCGCAAGGGGGGCGCGGCCGAAGGUGGGUCCGGUAAUUGGGGUGAAGUCGUAACAAGGUAAC
rnacentral:rRNA from 1 species